rnacentral:misc_RNA from 1 species
UCAAACUUGGUCAUUUAGAGGAAGUAAAAGUCGUAACAAGGUUUCCGUAGGUGAACCUGCGGAAGGAUCAUUACAGAAUAAACUUGAUAAGUUGUAGCUGGCUCAAUCUCAGAGUAUUGUGCACACUUGUCAUUUUUAUCUUUCCAUAUGUGCACCCAUGCAUAGGUCUGAAAAUCAAAGUCUACUUUGAUGUCUUGGGGAACUGCUGUUUUAUAAUAUCAGCUUUUCCUGUUUUCAGAUUCCUAUGAUUUUUUUUAUAUACACCAUGUAUGUUACAGAACGUUUAACAGGCUUUAACAAAGCCUAUAAAAUUUAUACAACUUUCAGCAACGGAUCUCUUGGCUCUCGCAUCGAUGAAGAACGCAGC